UACGUAGGGUGCGAGCGUUGUCCGGAAUUAUUGGGCGUAAAGGGCUCGUAGGCGGUUUGUCGCGUCGGGAGUGAAAACCUUGGGCUUAACUCAGGGCUUGCUUUCGAUACGGGCAGACUAGAGGUAUGCAGGGGGAGAACGGAAUUCCUGGUGUAGCGGUGAAAUGCGCAGAUAUCAGGAGGAACACCGGUGGCGAAGGCGGGUCUCUGGGCAGUAACUGACGCUGAGGAGCGAAAGCGUGGGGAGCGAACAGG
rnacentral:rRNA from 1 species